CGUGUGUGUUUGUUUGUGUGUGUGUGUGUGUGUGGAGGGUGGGGGGGAAGAAAUAUGCCAGGAGCUUUUGCGGACUUCUCCUUCUCAAACAAACACACACACACAGACACACACAGACACACACACA
rnacentral:miRNA from 1 species